CGUCUAAUCGUGCGUGCAAUUCCAGUAGAUUGUGUAAUGAUAAAAAUGAUAUUUAUAAUAACAAUAAUGUAGCGAGAAUUUUUUUCAAAAUGCGAGUGAAAUAUGGAAUCUAAAAGAAAUGUUGCCGACAGGCGUAAAAAUCAGUCAUGCUCGAUUCACGUACACGUAUUGUCGCAAGACUUACAGCUAUACGUACUCUGGCAGUUGAUCAUACCUGUACUGAAAAAUGAAUUCUAAUUUAAUACAAAAUUUCAGUUCACGGUCGAAUGGUGUACGUAAACAUUUGACGACUGUCUGCAAUAUUCUAAUAACGAGAAACUAAAAAUUCUUCACCGUAAAAUUCUUGCUUGUCCAACGAUCAAAUAUUGGUACGAAAGUCGUCCCAUUAAGCACGAAGAAUAUACGUAUGUUCACUUAUUAUUCAUGAGUGUCUGUUAAUAGCGAACAAUUGUAUGCGCCACAAAAUAAGAUGAUGAAAAUUCAUAAGAAUUUUUGGGAGCAAGGAACCGGCUAGAACGUUAUACGUCGUCUUUUUUUGUGUGCAGAUUACUUUUUUCUCAAGUCUUAAGAGAAACGCGAGUGCGGAGGAUGUCUCGAACAAAAGUUGGUUGGUUGGUACAGUUCAGAGUUGGGCAGGAGGUCAGGGAACAAUAAAUAAUAAUCUACAGCUGAGCAGAGCAACGGUACGAGUACAAUGCGAUUCGGGUGAACGACGCGGAACGCUAUGAAAUCCAGGAAGUUGAGCUCACUGGUUCCCGACUUGAAUCCAACGGUAUAUAUCUCUCGGGUCGACGUUGUGACUUGGGACACCUGUCGCGCGAACUAAUUACCUUCUAUCAAAAUCAACAACGCACAUAAUGAACCAAACGUCUCCCGCGAGACCGUGGCACCUUUCUUUUUUCAUUUUCUUCGCGGUAGCAGAAUCGUUCACUUCAUCCAGGUAAAAGUAUAUUUUCAUUCAAUUUUAUUGCAUACUCUUCGGGACUCAAAGUUCGCCCUAAUAAUCACUCAAUUACAAGUCACCGAUUUUUACCAUUGGAACCGAGUGCUCGACAUCGAAGGUUCCCGCUUCGAUCGAACUCUUCUGCAAUGGAUGACCAUCCAUCGAUGGAUCUGAUGUCUUCUCGUUUCAUUGCGUCAUCCGAUGGGAUUGUUACGGGUAUCCGGAGAUAAUGGACAGCCUAAAAUCGGCCACGCCAUGGCCGUAGUGACACAAUUUUCGUCGAGCGGGGUUAUUGAACUUGGAGUACCAUAGUUGCGGUGAUGAAAGACAGCGUAUAUAACCUGGAUCGAAGACUUUGGAACGAGUUCAAACUAAACCGAGACACGGAGCGCACUUAAACCUUAUCGAGUAAAGAGAGAGUUGGAUGAAGUUUGACGCUGCCGCGGGAGCUUCGUGGCUCGAACCUGGUGGCCUACUAUAACUGAACUGACUCCCACCUCCUCGGGGCAAACUCUUUUCCCCAGGGCGUCGAUGAACACGACGACGACGACGUAGACGUCGGAGACGAGUCCUAACACCCUCCUCAGGUCGGAAAAUUUUCCACUACUAGCCGCGUUACAGCAUCCCUAGAAUUGAAAGAAGAGCCCUGAAAGCAGCUAGCUGAGUUUCUGGUCCGAAAGUUUCAGGGUCCAAAACCUCCACGAUCUUUCACAGCG